rnacentral:tRNA from 8 species
GGAGGAUUAGCUCAGCUGGGAGAGCGUCUGCCUUACAAGCAGAGGGUCAUAGGUUCGAGCCCUAUAUCCUCCACCA